rnacentral:rRNA from 1 species
GUCAGCUCGUGUCGUGAGAUGUUGGGUUAAGUCCCGCACGAGCGCAACCCCUGUCUCUAGUUACCAGCGCGUCAUGGCGGGGACUCUAGAGAGACUGCCGGUGCCAAACCGGAGGAAGGUGGGGACGACGUCAAGUCAUCAUGGUCCUUACGUCUAGGGCUACACACGUGCUACAAUGGCGGGGACAGCGGGCUGCGAACCGGCAACGGUGAGCCAAUCCCAGAAACCCCGCCUCAGUUCGGAUUGUCGUCUGCAACUCGACGGCAUGAAGCUGGAAUCGCUAGUAAUCGUGGAUCAGCUACGCCACGGUGAAUACGUUCCCGGGCCUUGUACACACCGCCCGUCACGCCAUGGAAGCUGUGAGCGCCCGAAGUCCGCGCCGGAACCCUCACGGGACCAAGCGGCCGAAGGCGAGCGCAGUGACUGGGGCGAAGUCGUAACAAGGUAGC